UACUCGACGUCCCUAUGUACUGCAGGAUGCAUCUAGCUAGUAUCGAGCAGCUUGCCUAGACGCGGUCGUAGCUAUGUAGUAGCCAGCGACGAUCAUACUGUCGAGCGAUCAGCCACUGACUAGACGCGCUCUACGAGCAGCAUACGAUUGACAUGCGAGCUGAUCAGCAUGCGGUGUUGAGAGCUCGUGUAGCACUCGUCAGAGAUGCUCUGUAUGCUGUCGAUGACGUACGAGAUAGACGCUACUACGUGCAGCAGCGCGUAUACGUAGUCAGCGUAUCGAUACUGCGUAGCGUGCGCAGCGUGUGCAGACGAUGUGAAUCCGAGCUACUGGAUGCAUGUGACUGCACGCUAGAGUGUGUCAGAGAGGUAGAUCACGUGUAGCAGUGAAUGCGUAGAGAUGUGAGAUACGAUGCGAGCAGCCUCCUGGAUACACUGACGCUCAUGCACGAAGCGUGAGAGCAACACGAUUAGAUACCUGGUAGUCCACGCCCUAAACGAUGUCACUAGUUGUUGGGAUUCAUUCCUUAGUAACGUAGCUAACGCGUGAAGUUGACCGCCUGGAGAGUACGGUCGCAAGAUUAAAACUCAAAGGAAUUGACGGGGACCCGCACAAGCGGUGGAUGAUGUGGAUUAAUUCGAUGCAACGCGAAAAACCUUACCUACCCUUGACAUGCCACUAACGAAGCAGAGAUGCAUUAGGUGCUCGAAAGAGAAAGUGGACACAGGUGCUGCAUGGCUGUCGUCAGCUCGUGUCGUGAGAUGUUGGGUUAAGUCCCGCAACGAGCGCAACCCUUGUCUCUAGUUGCUACGAAAGGGCACUCUAGAGAGACUGCCGGUGACAAACCGGAGGAAGGUGGGGAUGACGUCAAGUCCUCAUGGCCCUUAUGGGUAGGGCUUCACACGUCAUACAAUGGUGCAUACAGAGGGUUGCCAAGCCGAGAGGUGGAGCUAAUCCCAGAAAAUGCAUCGUAGUCCGGAUCGUAGUCUGCAACUCGACUACGUGAAGCUGGAAUCGCUAGUAAUCGCGGAUCAGCAUGCCUACGGAUCCCCA
rnacentral:rRNA from 1 species